CGGACGGGUGAGUAACGCGUGGAUAACCUGCCUUUCACAGGGGGAUAACAGCUGGAAACGGCUGCUAAUACCGCAUGAGCCUCUUUUGUCGCAUGAGGAGAGAGGGAAAGAGAAAUCGGUGAGAGAUGGAUCCGCGUCCGAUUAGCUAGUUGGAGGGGUAACAGCCCACCAAGGCGACGAUCGGUAGCCGACCUGAGAGGGUGGACGGCCACAUUGGGACUGAGACACGGCCCAAACUCCUACGGAAGGCAGCAG
rnacentral:rRNA from 1 species